UUAAGAGCAGAUGGCGGAUGCCUUGCCAAAGAGAGGCGAUGAAGGACGUACUAGACUGCGAUAAGCUAUGCGGAGCUGUCAAGGAGCUUUGAUGCGUAGAUGUCCGAAUGGGGCAACCCAACUAAUAGAGAUAUUAGUUACUCUAAUUAGAGAGCGAACCUAGUGAAGUGAAACAUCUCAGUAACUAGAGGAAAAGAAAUCAACGAGAUUCCCUAAGUAGUGGCGAGCGAACGGGGAAAAGGGCAAACCGAGUGCUUGCAUUCGGGGUUGAGGACUGCAACAUCCAAGAGAACGCUUUAGCAGAGUUACCUGGAAAGGUAAGCCAUAGAAAGUGAUAGCCUUGUAUGCGACAAGGCGUUCUUAGGUAGCAGUAUCCAGAGUAGGCCAGGACACGAGAAAUCCAGGUUGAAGCCGGGGAGACCACUCUCCAACCCUAAAUACUACUCUUUGAGCGAUAGCGAACAAGUACCGUGAGGGAAAGGUGAAAAGAACCGCAGUGAGCGGAGUGAAAUAGAACCUGAAACCAUCUGCUUACAAUCAUUCAGAGCCCUAUGAUUUAUCAGGGUGAUGGACUGCCUUUUGCAUAAUGAUCCUGCGAGUUGUGGUAUCUGGCAAGGUUAAGCGAAUGCGAAGCCGUAGCGAAAGCGAGUCUUAAUAGGGCGAACAAGUCAGAUGCUGCAGACCCGAAGCUAAGUGAUCUAUCCAUGGCCAAGUUGAAACGCGUGUAAUAGCGCGUGGAGGACUGAACUCGUACCCAUUGAAACGGGUUGGGAUGAGCUGUGGAUAGGGGUGAAAGGCCAAACAAACUUAGUGAUAGCUGGUUCUCUUCGAAAUAUAUUUAGGUAUAGCCUCAAGUGAUAAUAAAAGGGGGUAGAGCCCUGAUUGGGCUAGGGCUGCUCGCCGCGGUACCAAACCCUAUCAAACUUCGAAUACCUUUUAUCGUAUCUUGGGAGUCAGGCGGUGGGUGAUAAAAUCAAUCGUCAAAAGGGGAACAACCCAGACUACCAAAUAAGGUCCCUAAGUUCUAUUCUGAGUGGAAAAAGAUGUGUGGCUACUCAAACAACCAGGAGGUUGGCUUAGAAGCAGCCAUCCUUUAAAGAAAGCGUAACAGCUCACUGGUCUAGUGGUCAUGCGCUGAAAAUAUAACGGGGCUAAGAUAGACACCGAAUUUGUAGAUUGUGUUAAACACAGUGGUAGAAGAGCGUUCAUACCAGCGUUGAAGGUAUACCGGUAAGGAGUGCUGGAGCGGUAUGAAGUGAGCAUGCAGGAAUGAGUAACGAUAAGAUAUAUGAGAAUUGUAUCCGCCGUAAAUCUAAGGUUUCCUACGCGAUGGUCGUCAUCGUAGGGUUAGUCGGGUCCUAAGCCGAGUCCGAAAGGGGUAGGUGAUGGCAAAUUGGUUAAUAUUCCAAUACCGACUCAUGGAGCGUGAUGGGGGGACGCAUAGGGUUAAGCGAGCUAGCUGAUGGAAGCGCUAGUCUAAGGGCGUAGAUUGGAGGGAAGGCAAAUCCACCUCUGUAUUUGAAACCCAAACAGGCUCUUUGAGUCCUUUUAGGACAAAGGGAGAAUCGCUGAUACCGUCGUGCCAAGAAAAGCCUCUAAGCAUAUCCAUAGUCGUCCGUACCGCAAACCGACACAGGUAGAUGAGAUGAGUAUUCUAAGGCGCGUGAAAGAACUCUGGUUAAGGAACUCUGCAAACUAGCACCGUAAGUUCGCGAUAAGGUGUGCCACAGCGAUGUGGUCUCAGCAAAGAGUCCCUCCCGACUGUUUACCAAAAACACAGCACUUUGCCAACUCGUAAGAGGAAGUAUAAGGUGUGACGCCUGCCCGGUGCUCGAAGGUUAAGAGGAUGCGUCAGUCGCAAGAUGAAGCGUUGAAUUGAAGCCCGAGUAAACGGCGGCCGUAACUAUAACGGUCCUAAGGUAGCGAAAUUCCUUGUCGGUUAAAUACCGACCUGCAUGAAUGGCGUAACGAGAUGGGAGCUGUCUCAACCAGAGAUUCAGUGAAAUUGUAGUGGAGGUGAAAAUUCCUCCUACCCGCGGCAAGACGGAAAGACCCCGUGGACCUUUACUACAACUUAGCACUGCUAAUGGGAAUAUCAUGCGCAGGAUAGGUGGGAGGCUUUGAAAUAAGGGCUUUGGCUCUUAUGGAGCCAUCCUUGAGAUACCACCCUUGAUGUUUCUGUUAGCUAACUGGCCUGUGUUAUCCACAGGCAGGACAAUGCUUGGUGGGUAGUUUGACUGGGGCGGUCGCCUCCUAAAAAGUAACGGAGGCUUGCAAAGGUUGGCUCAUUGCGGUUGGAAAUCGCAAGUUGAGUGUAAUGGCACAAGCCAGCCUGACUGUAAGACAUACAAGUCAAGCAGAGACGAAAGUCGGUCAUAGUGAUCCGGUGGUUCUGUGUGGAAGGGCCAUCGCUCAAAGGAUAAAAGGUACCCCGGGGAUAACAGGCUGAUCUCCCCCAAGAGCUCACAUCGACGGGGAGGUUUGGCACCUCGAUGUCGGCUCAUCGCAUCCUGGGGCUGGAGCAGGUCCCAAGGGUAUGGCUGUUCGCCAUUUAAAGCGGUACGCGAGCUGGGUUCAGAACGUCGUGAGACAGUUCGGUCCCUAUCUGCCGUGGGCGUAGGAAAGUUGAGGAGAGCUGUCCCUAGUACGAGAGGACCGGGAUGGACGUGUCACUGGUGCACCAGUUGUUCUGCCAAGAGCAUCGCUGGGUAGCUACACACGGAUGUGAUAACUGCUGAAAGCAUCUAAGCAGGAAGCCAACUCCAAGAUAAACUUUCCCUGAAGCUCGCACAAAGACUAUGUGCUUGAUAGGGUAGAUGUGUGAGUGCAGUAAUGCGUUUAGCUGACUACUACUAAUAGAGCGUUUGGCUUGUUU
rnacentral:rRNA from 1 species